GAGAGAGAUUGAUUGCAGGCUGUAGCUUCAUAUUUACCAUACAGACAUGAGAGUGGUAUCAAUCUGAACAUCUAACUCUCUGCAAGAAAGCGAAUAACCAUAUUUCCCUUAGAUAUCGUGAGCUUUUUUUUCAAACUUUGGAAAGGCAACAAGAGCCACAGUACAGGAACUGUUUUAGCAGGCUGAGAAGUACUCAUUUUGACUAGUAAACUGAACUUCAUGUGUAAAAUUGGUGGAGUGCCCUUUUAUGAGGUUGUUAAAGGACAGUUGCAUAUUUUUGUCUCAAUACAAUAGUCAGGUACCCAUAUGGACAUUUUUUUCUUGCUGUAACCAUUCCUCCUGUUCAUACUGGCUGUGAAGAGAUCCAUUUCUAAUGCUAUUCCAAUGGAAAUGAUGGGGGACAAAAUCCCCAGUCCUCAUUCUGUGCAAAAAUACAUUCCAAAGUUUAUCUGAACUUAAUAUGAGGCUUCAGCAGUUAAAUCAAGUGGUUAUCUUCAAAAGUUACAAUCUUUUUAGAAUGAAAUUCCCUCUUUGUAUUUCCCUGGACAUGCUAGACCAUUUUCCAAGUCGUGAUGUUUUGUGUAUUUUUUCAAAUUAGUUUUCUUCUACCUUCCAGACAGCCACUGGUUUCUAUUUAUUGCAGUAUUGUAGAAAAAUCAAUACUUCUUGCCCCUCACACAGAGCAUCAUCUUUUGUCUUUGUUGAGCAGACUUUUCAAAUCAAUCCGUAUGUUUUGACUGCAUUGAUACUCUAGGAUACUACAACUUUUACUAAACUAAAACCAUGCAUAAUGUGGCUGUAUGUCACUGCUAGUUUGGACUAACCUGCAUUUAUAAACCUCAGAUGCAUAAAAUAUACUGUUAUUGGAAUGGUUGUGUAAUAAUAAUAAUAGUAAUGAUCAUAAAGAAAAAACAGGCAAGUGGCAAAAACACUAGAAUGGGCUGCCAAGAACAGAGACCCCUUUUAUUACUACUGGAUGAUUAAGACUCUUAAGGAAAUGACACAACCUACUUGCACUAAAGUAAAGAACUCCAGUGGAGCUGCUCAGCAGAUCAGGCUGGUUAUACUGGACAGCUUCCAGGUAUGGAAGUGUAACUGUGUGAAUGUGAUGUGAAGGUGUUCCUGAAAAAAAAGCAUUGUUCUCAGUGAAACUCCCCCCUGAAUAAAUAAAGGUAAAAAAAAAAAAAGAACUAAAGACAAAAUCACAACUUUAAUGAGAAAUCUCUCUUGCAGCUAAAACAAGGCCCAACAAUGAAGCUGUGGCUCCCACAUGAGCACCUCUCCUCCCCCUUUUUUUUUUUCAAACAUGGCUGACUCCCGGUGUUUGAAAGUUCACUUAUAUUACUGAAGUGCUUUGCUAAUGAGUGGGUGUAGGUUGUAAAUGGAAGGCAAUUCCUUUGAUUCUCAACUGGCCACAGAAAAAUCUGCAGGAGAUGAGUGAGAUUCACAGUAUUCAACAACCGCAAUAACAGUAGAUGAUUCAUCUUGGUGACAAUACUGUAUAGACAUAUUAUUGACUCAUGAGUAUACAUAAUGUGCUACAGGGAGUCCCAGCAGAUUUUUGAUUCUGGAGUCUUUCAGCACAUGUAUUUCUGCAGCCACAUGUCAAAGUCCAGGAGGCGGUGCAUCAGAACAACACAUCAUGAUUUACAAGUAAUGAGCAGCCAGGUGAAUGUUUAACAGCCAAGCCCUACUCUACAUGUUCAGUGACACAACCACCACAUGAUCUUCAGUCCAGGUAACCUGAACUGUGAGAACACACUCGGCCGAGACUGGUGCGUCAAAGUUUGCUUUCACAUCAUCAUGUACUGACGACUUUCCAUCUGAGUCCAAAUGGAGCACCUACAGAAUAUUAAAAUUAUGAUUAAAGUAAUGGUUAUUGUUUUGCACUGUAAAGGUUCCUCAGCUGAGACGACAAGGAAGCUCAGUGUGUUGGUGGGCACAGACGUGACUCUCAGCUGCCUGUUUGAUAAGCUGUCCAAGCUGGUAGAGUGGAGCACUCUCACCAUUGAGUGGAACAUGGUGGAUAAACAUGCAGAAAAGAGCAUCGUGUACACUUUCGAGGAUGGUAGAGCGCAUGGGAACAGAGAUGGCUCUGUGGUGGAUAAAAUGCGGUUGCUAGAAAGCGAUGCAUCCCUGCAACUUCGUAAUGUGACUGUGGGAGAUGAAGGGCUGUACACCUGCAGAAUCAUCACACCUGUGGUCUACACAGAGGCCACUUCACUGGAAGUGCUGGCUCGGCCUUCAGUGUUGCUCCCAGAAAAGGCAGCAGUGACAGAGGGGGAGGAGAAGACGAUACAGUGUGACAUCACAGGUUUCUAUCCACAGAAGCUGGCUGUGACAUGGCACAUCCAAAAUGGCUCCCACACUGUCCACACAGGUGUAAGCCACCUCUUCCGUGUCUGCACCGAAAUGGCCAUACACAAUCCAGAUGACACCUACAGUAUUCGCAGUAGCAUCACACUGCACUCCUCAGCAGUGAAGGAUGGAGAGAUACAUAUCAUCUGCCAGGUGGAGCACCAGACCUACAGCCAGCCGUACAACAGAUCUGUUACACUGACUGUUCAAGCUCCAUCACAGCCCCUUUACAGUGCUGUCACACUGAUAUCUGUCACCAGUGUCAUCAGUUUGCUGCUGGUCACCUCUGUUAUUGGAGGCCCUUUGCUUCUCUACAGGUAUUUCUGUAAAGCUCCUCCAAGUGUUUCUGAAAUCAGCCAACCCUGCAUCAUAUAUGCUCAGGUGCCAUCCGACCUCAAAUGCACCAUCCGUGGAGCAACACAGCGGGAGCUCAAAGUGAAAUGGUUUAGAUUAAGAAGCAGCGCAGACUCAGUGGUCCAGUCAGAAUCUGUUUCUCUGUUGGUCAGUGAGGAUUUGAGUGAACAGGCAUGUCUCCAGUCAGAUGACAGACACCACACAUCUGUCCUGACUGUGUGUCUGGCUGUUACUGAAGACCUGACCAAAUACCAGUGCGUGGUGCUUUGCAGGGGCAAGAGCUUCAGUAGAGAGACCACAGUCCGGGUAAAAGUGGAGCCGUCUUUCCUCCAGAUCUCCAGUAUCCCUCAGAUCCCCAAGGCGGAGAGGCUGCUGGUUCUCUGCUGUCGGGUGGAGAACUUCUACCCCCAGGAUGUGGACCUGGAGUGGUCCAGGAACGAUGGGGAGCAGGUCUGCACUGUCACACACUUUGGACCUUUCUCCGACCACAGCCGCCUCUACAGCGUGUGGAGUAAAAUCCAGCUGGUCAUGGCCAGAGAGGACGAGAGGGCCGUCUACACCUGCCGUGUUUACCACUCCAGCUUCCCUCCUCCGGGCUUCAAAGAUGUCCUGUACCACAUCAACACUCAAGGAACUCCUCCUAAUGUGAUGUUCAUCGACUGUGAACCGCUGUGCCCUCUGUUGAAUGAAGAGUGUACACUGCACCUGUGCAUCAAAGACUUCUGUCCUGAAGACGUGUCAGUGACUUGGACUAAAGAUGGGGAGACGGUUGUCUCCGGUGUCUUCAACUCUCCCCCGAGCCUGAACAUCAACGGCCUCUACUCCAUGUUCAGUUUUCUAAAACUCACUCCCAGCAAGGACGAACAGGGCUCCAAGCUCAGGUGCCGGGUGGUCCACAGUGCCCAGACGGAGCCUGAGGAGAGGCUCUUCACUCUGCCAAACAUGCAGCUGACAGACGGCUGCUGACGUCCUCACUGUGUAAACUGUUGUAUCGUGUCCAUCAUAUACCACAUAAAUACAACAUAAAUGGGAUAGCACAUUUUCAUUAGAAAAAUAGGAGUCAUUACUUCCAGUUAUGUUUCUCUAUUUAUAUACAUUAAAAAUGAGACCAAACUUCAUACUACUUCCCUUGGAGAUUAGUAUUAGUCCUUUCAAUUUCAGAUUCAAAAGCGGCAAUGUCCAUCAUUCAUUUUAACCAUUCAUCAAAAACAGGCUUUGUCUGAUUCUUCCAAUUAUGGAGAACAAUCCUUGAAGCGCCAAUAACGCCUGCCAGCACUAGUCCACCACUCUCUAAUUAUUACUAUUAUUAUUAUUAUUAUUAUUAUUACCAAUUUCCUAGGACGUUUCCUAGAAAUAAAUUAGAAUUUUGGUACAAAUUAUAGGGAAAAUAGGAAUUUCCUUGAAAAACCUGCUCCAUCUAAACCCAAGUAAAUAUUCACUCAUCAUUCAUUUAUUAAUGAAAACUUUAUUCUCCAUAUAUGCUGAAUUGUGUGCUAGCUUGUAGGCAAACUGCACAUUUUUGCAUGUUCAGCUGAUCUGCUGUGCACAGAGUCAAAGACUCCACGCUGACGAUUGACUGGAAUUUGUGUGAAAAGUGAAUACGCUCUAUUAUCUAUAGAAUUAGUAAACCAAAUCAUGGAAAUUAUUAGGAAUUAGAAUUAGAAAAAUUACAGACCCGCAAAAUAACAUGUUACCACUGUUUGAACAGUUUUUAUGUGUUUGUGGUGAAUUUUCUUAUUUUCUCUUAAAAAAUAGUUGUAGAAAUAUGUUUUUAUACAAGUAUAAUAUCGCUGCGCAGUAUGCAUUCUCAUGAUUUCUGUGAUACAUUUUUAACAUUUAAUUACUUUUUUUACCACACAAUGUGAGUAGGGAGGACAAUGUAUCAAUAGUUUAUGUACAUUUUUAAAAAGCUGGAAAAAUAAAUUGCUUUGCUUGUCUGAUUACAUAUUUACUGUACAAUUUAGCAAUGCACUGUUGCCCUCUGACCAAACACAUCACGUACAGUAAACGCUCACAACUUCCUUCUUGUGUGAGAGGUCUGUUGUCUCUCUGAGGUUUACCUGCUACAUACCUAUGUAAAACUCAGCCUCACCCCUUGAAUGUAAAUGUAAAUGUGUUGUGAAAAAUGAUAGCUGAGGAGUUGUACCUGUAAAGAAAAGUUGACAACAUGUGCUAAAAUUUGAGAAUGAAAAUUACUCAUUGAAUUUAAAGAUUCAUCUUUUAUCAGUUCCCUUUAAGACACUAAGGUUAUGACAAUUGGCUUUAACAUUUUUAAUGUAAGAAUUUAUGCAAUGAACAUGCUGAUUACCAUGUCUGACAGUCAAUCAGUGGUAGAAUGUAACUACAUUUACUCAAGUACUGUACUUAAAUACAAAUUUGAGAUACUUGUA